rnacentral:lncRNA from 1 species
UGGUGCUUUAAAAGCAAAGCAGGCAUUAAAAACUGCACCUCUUUUUGUACCAUUGCAUAUUUGAUCACAAAAUGUGAUCAGAACUGACUGACUUUAAGCAAAAUUACCCACCCACUGCAGUCCCCCUUUGUGACUUUUUUUUAGGGGGCAGAAUCUAUUCUGUAACUUAAGAGAGAAAAUGUCAGUCAAGAAUGGUGGGACUGAAAGCACUUACUUUAGUUGAUGUCACUUGCUAUAUAUUUUGGGGCUUCUUUCCUCCACUGAUUUGUGACUUUUGACACUUAAAUUGUGUAGGGCAUUACCAUUUUAUCUUAAAUGCUUUGUUGAGAAAAAAAUUAUAUGGCUAAAUGUUUAAAAAGAUUCAGUCAGGUGUAUUCUUUGGGGUAUAGAGUUACAUUUAUGGUUAUUAAAACUUAGAAAAUGAGAAGAUCCAGUCAUUUGAAUAUCAGGGUGUUUCUUGUAUGGAACUUGUAAUAUUGUAACUUUAAAGAGGUAGAUCAAAAUAGUGUUCCAGAGUGAAGAAACUUACGACCUUAUGUUACUGUCUGUGUAAAAGAAAGGGGUAUUUUUUUUUUUUACAAGAAUUUAUAUUGAGUGGUUUUUUGUUUUGUUUUUCAAGUUU